CCGCCUUCCUGGUGCCCCGCGCGGCGAGAGGGAGAGUGUGAGCCGGGACAGGGGGCUGGGGGAGGGCGGCUUAGGAAAUCAGCAGUGACCCCCAAAGCUGAGAGUGCGUAGUGGACCCCACCACUGUUUCAGGCAGCAACCUGGGCUCGCAUUUGCACACCUUAAAGUGGCAGGAUUUUGAAAGAACCCGGCAGAAGGCGUCACCCCCAGACGGAACGUGUGUGGCGGGGAGGGGGUGAGAUGGGGAGUCCUCUGAGUCACCCUUGGCCGCGGGUCACCACCCCUCCCCCUGUGCACCUCUCCCGUUAUGCAAAUUAAGCGGCUGUGGAAGCACAUUAAUACCUGCGCCACCCUUUUGCCGUUUUAAAUUAGCAAACCCAAAGGAUGUUCUGUUUACUUUUUUAAACUUUAGAACAGGAAAAAGACCAGCCUGUUUUUUCGCCAAUAUGGCAAUGACUGCUUUUGUCAAAAAAUGGGUGAUGUGUGCACAUUCUGAAAUAGCAUCAGUGGACAGUAUGCUGAAAUCACAUUCAUUGGGGUUUUUGUUCCUUUCUUUCCCCCCAAUUUUGUGAAACUAUUUUUCCUUGUUGAGGCCCCCAGGGCUAAUGGGAAAAGUAUUGGAUUUGGUCGUGCAAACUUAAAUUUGAAUCUCCUCUGCCACUUUCCACCUGUGUGGUCCUGAGCAAGUUACUUAACUUUCCUGACCCUCAAGUUUAAGGGGGUCCUGACAAUACCUGGGGGUGGUGACAAUAACAGACUAUAGGGCUGUCCUGAGAGUCAGAUGAAAUUACGUUUCAAGAGUUUAGCACCUUAAUAAAUAUGAUUUUGAUGUCUUUCUAGCCUUGGUUAAAAAUUGUAAGACAAUGUAUGAGUUUGGAAAGGUUUCUACAGAUUCCUAGCUUAAGAAAAGAAGAAUGGAAUUAACGUGAUCCUAAAACCAUUUAGGUAAAGGAGGGAGUGCUAGGGAGGGGUGACCCCCCAGCUCUGUCACAUCCAUCCUGUACAGUGGAUCUUGGCUAAGUCACUGGAGUGCGGUGAGGAAAUAGUUCUGGAUAACAUUCUCCAGAUAUGGUCACGCCUUAGAGAAGAAAAAUGAGUAUUUACUCAUGCCGGUUGUCUUUACCCACAAUUUGGAGUUUCACAGCAACCCAGCUAGGCAGGGCCAGUAGAAUGGAUAAUAUUUCCUUAAGAGAAAUCUGAGACUUGGCUGUGUUAACUGAUUUCCCCAGAGGUCACUCCGUCAAUGGUGGGAGUUUGGACUUCACGGUCGCUUCUCCUUCCACGAUAUCAUCCUGCCUUUCAGGAAAUGCACUUUGAAUUGAGACGUGUGUAAUGGACCAAAUAUUUGUGUCCCCCCUCAAAUUCUUAUGUUGAAGGCCUAGACCCCAAUAUGAUGGUAUUGGAGGUGGGGUCUUUAGGAAGUAACUGAAUUUUGGUGAGGUCAUGAGGGGGGCCCCCAUCAUGGGCUUAGAAAAAGGGACCAGAACUUCCUCUUUCUGCCACGUGAGAACAAAGCCAGAAGGCAGCCAUCUUGUAAGCCAGGAAGGGGGCCCUCACCAAGAACUGAACGUGUCAACACCUUGAUCUGGCACUUCCCAGCCUCCAGAACUGUGGGAAACAAAUGUCUGUUGUUUAAACCAUCCAGUCUAUGGUGUUUGGUUAUUGCAGCCCGAGCUAAGAUGACAUCCCUUUAGGAAAAUUAUGAUCAGAUGUACAUCCGAGGGUCACAGUGGCCAUGUCCUUGAAGCCACUCAUACCAUUGUUAAAGAAAUUAUUUUGUGACGGUAAUUUUUACUAGAAGGCAAUUCUUUAAAAAAAAAAUCAAAUUUGAAAUGGAAUCAUUUAACUUUAAGUUAGGAAAUAUUUGGGUAUAGAUUGCAUUGUACUGAGACCUGAGUGUUGUAGCUCUCUGUUGAAGCUUUGCAAAACAUUUUAUAUAACCAAUAUGGCUCUGGCCGGAACCAGGCCACUUCCUGUCACAGAGAAGCAGUGUGGUGUGGGUGAAAGUACAGCCACCCGGGAGCCAGGAGAUGUGCCACCAGCCAGCUCUGCCACCCGCUGAGUCACGUUGAGUGGUCAUUUCACACUCUGGUUCUCAGAAUUCCUGGUGGAAUAGAGGCUAGCUCACUCACCUCUGUUGACGGUGGGAUAAAGGACACAGUCUUCAUUCCAUGAGGCCACAAACAUUUGUUGAAAAUCUGGGCCAGGAUUCGAAAGAUAAUUCGUGCCUUGCCCACAAUAUUGCUGGGAGAAAGACAUCCAGAUGAGCAACGUGAUAAGUGGUUCAACAGUAACCUUAACAGGAUUCCUGGAGGAGGGAGGAGUUAGUUCUCAAGGCAAGUUCAUCUGGGUUGUUCAGAGAGGGAAGGUUUCAUAUCGGAUGAUGUUGGUGCGAAACCUCGGAAGGCAACUAGGAUGUCAACUGACAAGGAUGGGCAAGAGUUCACACCAAGCAGAGGCUGCGUGGCCACAGUGUGGAGCCCUGGAAACUCCUGGCACAUUGGGGUCAUGAGUGGUUUGUGUCAUGGGGGCUUGGGAAGUGUGUACAGUGCAGCGACAGGUGAUGACACAAGAAAGGUGGACCAGGCCCAGGAGCCACAGGGCCCUGAGUGCCAGGCCAAGGAGCAUAGGCUCCCCACCAGGCAGUAGUGUCCCAGCUGCAUCCUGAAGCUCCAGGAUUCUUGUAGCUGUUGUGGGCCCCAAAGGGGGUGGGGCUGGAGGACCUUAGGGGGGCUCUAAGACCUCUGUCCUUGCUUUACCCAGAGCAGUCAGAUUUUAUCUCUUUUAUGUCCUGGGGCUCCUGGUAACAUCCCAAUGGAAAAAUUGGAGCUUCUUCUGCUUAUAAAAAAGGGUUGAAAUCCACUAUGUAGACAGCAGUAAGGAGUCAAUAAAAGUCUUGAAGCCAAAAAAGUGAACUGAUUGGGUCUAUAUUUUAGAAGGCUCCCCCUGGCAGCAGAGUGGAAGAUGAAUCAGGCAAUAAAGGACGGAAACUGGAGACGGCACCAGUCAGGAGCUCAGUUCAGUCAUCCAGCCGGCAAGAAGGAAAUGUAAACCUGGACAAUGGCAAGGGCACAGGAAGGGAUGGGUUCAAGGGACAGUUCAGAGAUCGAGGGACCAUGACCUGAAGGUGGAUUCGAUCUGGAGAAAGAGGGUUUCUAACCCGGGUGCCUGGGCAGAUGGUGAGUGGCAGUGACGAGGUGUCAGUCUUUGGUGAUCUGGAAAACAGUGAUCUUGGAGAUCAGGUGCAAGAAGCUGUAACAACAAGUGAACCCCACACUGAACAGCAAACAGAAUGUCUGGAAGAAACUGACAAAACUGGGAAGAGGAACGUUUCCUCCGAGGACCUGGUGAGGAGGCUCUGGUCCUUGGAGCAAGGCAGCCGAGCAAGACAAGCCCUUCUCACCUGCACCUUUAUAUGUGAUGCAGAUAUGGAGGAUGCCAAGCUGGGAAGCCUCAGUCAGCUCUUCCACGGGGCAGGUGACAGAGAUGUUUUGCAAAUGCUAAGCGGCUAAGCAUUCCCUUGAUACUAAGAACAAUCAGCCUCCUUUUCCUUUGGCAGAAAAAUCCUCAGUGUAGUUCACUGGAGGCCUCAGAAUCUGGGCCUUCUGCCAAGAGAAGACCUGGGCCUCUUUUCCUCAUUUGUCGGAGACUUGGAAAACACAGCAAAGUGUGCUCUGCCCCACAAUUUGAAUGAAUCUGUGGAACGGCAAUGUGUUCUCGGCCCUUCCUCAGAAUGACUCAGUUGUGGUGAUUUCACAUUCAAUCUCUUAGCAAGGCUCCUAGUUCUUGGAUGGAUCAAAGGGGGGAAAUAAGCAAGAGCUGCUCUGUGUGACACAGCAGACCAUGGCCACACGUGGGUGUGUGCCCUUGAACGUGGGUGGUUCAAAUUGACACGCACCAUGAGUAUAAAAUACAGGGUUUCAAAAACUGACUAUGAAAAAAAUGUAAGCUAUCUCAACACUUUUUUUAUCUUGGUUACUUGUUGAGAUGGUAUUUUGAACACAACGGGCUAAACAAAAUAUAUUAUCAAAAUUCACUUCAUAUGUUGUUUUAACGUGGCUACUAGUAAAUUUAACAUUGCAUACACAUGUAAUGUGCAUCACAGUAUAUUUCUAUCAGACAGCUUGGCUCUGGACAAUUAAGGUUCCCCCAUACUCACGUUGUAAGCGAAAGCUUUCAACAUCGAGGUCAUUUUUAGUUUAUAUAAAUUUAUUGCUUUGAAAUCGCCUUUUCUGAGAAGAUAAUAUUUGGUCAGUUUUUUUUUUCUCAGUGGCCAGAUGAUAGGGUAAAUUAUUAAUUUUCAAAUUUCAGCUUUGCAGGACAAUUUCACAGGAAGUCAGUUUUUUUAUGCCCCACCUCCACUUCUUCCUUUCUACGCAGAAAAACAGAUGCCCCGAAGUGACAGCAUCUGAGAACACAGAACAGGGCCACUCUCGACAUGUGCCUAUGAGAUACAGACUCAUUAAAAAUACCAGACCCACAAAACAGGAAAAAAAGCACUAUGCAGAUACCCAGGGCAGUAAAUGGAAAACCCACGUUAAUGCAGUGCCAAGAAUGAAAAUCGUAGCCUACAAACUUGUUUUUUGAGAAAAAGAAAAUAGUGGGCUAAGAGCCUGGAAAUGAGAAAGUUAAGUUCCCACAGAAGCAAUCAUUUACC
ensembl:lncRNA